rnacentral:rRNA from 1 species
UACGGAGAGUGCAAGCGUUGUUCGGAAUUACUGGGCUUAAAGCGGGUGUAGGCGGAGGAGCAAGUGUCAGGUGAAAUCCCUCGGCUCAACCGAGGAAUUGCCCGGCAAACUGCUUCUCUUGAGGCAGGUAGAAGUGAGUGGAACGACUGGUGGAGCGGUGAAAUGCGUAGAUAUCAGUUGGAACGCCGGUGGCGAAAGCGACUCACUGGGCCUGUCCUGACGCUGAGACCCGAAAGCGUGGGUAGCAAACAGGAUUAGAUACCCCCGUA